UACGGGGGGAGCAAGCGUUGUUCGGAUUUACUGGGCGUAAAGGGCGCGUAGGCGGCCAGCACAAGUCAGUUGUGAAAUCUCCGAGCUUAACUCGGAACGGUCAACUGAUACUGCGGGGCUAGAGUGCAGAAGGGGCAACUGGAAUUCUCGGUGUAGCGGUGAAAUGCGUAGAUAUCGAGAGGAACACCUGCGGCGAAGGCGGGUUGCUGGGCUGACACUGACGCUGACAGCGCGAAAGCUAGGGGAGCGAACGGG
rnacentral:rRNA from 1 species